CCAACGGGGAAUCCUUUAAGUAACGGCGAGUGAAGCGGUAAAAGCUCAAAUUUGAAAUCUGGUACUUUCAGUGCCCGAGUUGUAAUUUGUAGAACUUGUCUUUGAUUAGGUCCUUGUCUAUGUUCCUUGGAACAGGACGUCAUAGAGGGUGAGAAUCCCGUUUGGCGAGGAUACCUUUUCUCUGUAAGACUUUUUCGAAGAGUCGAGUUGUUUGGGAAUGCAGCUCAGAGUGGGUGGUAAAUUCCAUCUAAAGCUAAAUAUUGGCGAGAGACCGAUAGCGAACAAGUACAGUGAUGGAAAGAUGAAAAGAACUUUGAAAAGAGAGUGAAAAAGUACGUGAAAUUGUUGAAAGGGAAGGGCAUUUGAUCAGACAUGGUGUUUUUUGCAUGCACUCGCCUCUCGGGGGCUUGGGCCUCUCAUAAAUGUCACUGGGCCAACAUCAAUUCUGGCAGCAGGAUAAAUCAAUAAGAAUGUAGCUGCUUCGGUAGUGUUAUAGCUGUUUGGAAUACUGUUAGCCGGGAUUGAGGACUGCGCUGCCGCAAGGAUGUUGGCAUAAUGGUUAAAUGCCGCCUGUCUAAAAAAAGGAAAAAAAAAACCCCCAAACAAAACACAAGAACCACCCAAAAAGAGCGGCCCGGGAGGAGGGAGGACGCGGCCAACAACAACAUGAAGGAAGGUACUUGAAGCUU
rnacentral:rRNA from 1 species